AGGUCAUUUUAAAGAGGAUUUGUGGCUUUGUGAAACCAGGAAUGUCAACAAACGCUAUAACCAAAGAUCAAAGUUCUCUGUAAGAUGUCAUAGUCGUUCAAUAGUGCUGUGUUUUCCUGAAGAGAUGAAAGA
rnacentral:snoRNA from 1 species